rnacentral:rRNA from 1 species
CCUACGGGAGGCAGCAGUAGGGAAUAUUGGGCAAUGGACGAGAGUCUGACCCAGCCAUGCCGCGUGCAGGAAGAAGGUCCUCUGGAUUGUAAACUGCUUUUAUCGGGGAAGAAUAGGUCUCUUGCGAGGGAUUGUGACGGUACCCGAUGAAUAAGCCACGGCUAACUACGUGCCAGC